CUUUGCUUUCACCUGCUCAGGCUGUGGGCUGAGGAAAUGCUUCUCUCCAUGACCUUGAACCUCCUCAUCCAAGUCCUCCAUCACAAUAGCUAGUAAUUUUUAUGCAUUUAACACCAUUUAUAGUAUGGGGCAUAGUAUGGUAAAAUAUUAAGUUAACUUCAUUUGUUGGAACAUGCAACAGAGACAGAGGGUAUUGUUAUAUGUGAGUUAGAGUAGAAUCUCAGAUUUGUCAAUGUUGAGAUUAUGCUUAUAACUGGAGUGCUGCUCUAUGUUUAAGUUCAUAAAUGUAUUUCUUUGAGGCUCUCAUGUAACAUCACGAAGAAUUAAAUUUUUAUUAUUGUGUCAGUCUGUGUCAGUCAAACUAAUAGUUACUGACUAAAUAUUUUAUAUACAAAUUCGUUUCUUAAUGAGAUGGGCGGUGACAAACUUGAUAUAUAAAUAAAAAAUUUAAAAGCCCUGGUGAUGCUGGAUUGAUUUCAAAUUUAUUUCUGAGCUAGUACUGAUACAGAGACAUCCAGGAAUACGCCAGGUCUCAAUGAGAGGAUGCCCAGCAAACAGAAACAGCCUGCAACAAAGACCAGAAUGUUGUUUAUUCAAAGGCUGAUCAAUGUAAUCAAGUCGGGCAUCGUGGAGAGUGAGAAGAGAAUGGAGGCAAAAGACACACGCAAAUGUAUCAAUGGAAGUUAAACCUGCCAGUUAUGCCGUUCUGCAAAGAGGCCAACCCACUGUUUCAAGGCCUUUGGAGGGUUGCUUUCCUAUUGCCACUGUGGUAGUGUUACUUAAAUCACCUGUUCCUUUCAUCAAAUAGGUCAAUUUGACAGAGAUAUGAAAAUGUUUUCUCACGGCCUGCAUUUCUACAGCGUGGUGUAAAGCUAAAGAGAAAAUAUGGUGGGGGAUGAAUAGUUGGGAUGAGCAGGGCACCCUGAUUUGCAUGAUUUUUGUAAGGAAACCCUGGGUAGGAAGUUGAAAAGGGAAAGUAAUGGAGAAAAAGAAGGCUUUGUGGGAGGCACCAUUGGGAGAUACAAGCCUUUUGACCACUAGGGCAAAUGGCAAAGGCAGGAGAGGAAGGAAGGGUCUGUCUCUCACCUAAGUACUUGUUAAAUAAAUGAGAGGUGUGUUUAAGAGACAAAACGAAGUGUCUCCCCGCCAUUCUCUCUUCAAGAUGUAGUCUAAAUAUAGAAGUGAAUCUUUCCUAUCCCAGGCAUCUCUUAAUAAUUUUUUUUUAUUGUAAAUGGAAUGAAUGUCUCUUAGCAUUCAUUGAUAGGUGAGCUGAGCCUCUUUGCUGCAUCCAUGGCAACAGCAUUAUGAUCAUUUUUCUUUCUGAAUGGGACCUGCUGCGACUUAAUUACCUGGGAUUCUUGCAGCACUCUGCAUAUGCUCAGGAGCACGAGGGCUCCUGCUAAAUUCAAAUCUCCAGCAGUGUUACUGAAGAACCAUUUCUGAUCCUGUGGUCUGAGGAUAAUCUUGUGGCUUGAAGAGGCAUUGGUCUUUGCCGGAAGGAGUUGUUCCCUUCAACAGAAGACACGUCUCUCGCUGUUGUUUCUGGCCAGCUACAAAUGCAGCCUAGGAGCAGUGGCAAAGCCUCCCUGCUGCUGCCCCUGCUGCUUCCUGAGUCUUCCCCGCAGUGUAUCCCAAGUUCUUGCAGCCAAGACCUGCUCCAUGGCACCCGACUGCUGGAUUCCAAUGGCUGCUUCUCUUGCCUUCAAGUACAGCAGCCACUCUACAGGCAUCUGAGAAAAUCAAGAUUUUGUUAUGUGGCUCUAUUUGGCUGCCCUGGUGGGGCUUUACUUCCUUCAGCGAUGGUUCUGGGAGAGACAGACGGUGGAGAACCUGAUGGAGAAAUGCAUCUUCAUCACCAGCUGUGACUCUGGCUUUGGGAACCAGCUGGCCAGGCAGCUGGAUGCUCAGGGUCUGCAGGUGUUGGCCGCCUGUCUCACCCUGGAAGGGGUGAAGAAAUUCAGAACCUUUGGGAAAAAGGAUAUGUAAUGAAAAAAAAUCCAAAGCUGAUGUAAAGGGAAUUCAUAAUUCAUUUAAGCCUUUAGUGAGAAUAAUUCCUAAAUAUUUGAUCUCACCAGUUAACUUUUACAAAUAUACCUGUACAUUACUAUCAGUGUUGAGUAGGUUUCAGAAUAAAAUCAAUAUACUGUCAGCAAAUUAUCACAGGCUCCCUGUUUUUAAUAUAAUCCUUAAAUAUAUUUUACUCAUGUUUCAAUUAAAACAAAUUAAAUUGCCAUUCUUUUUUUUUUACAGCCAUAGCCAACAAUUUAGAUGGUCAGUUAACUGAAUCUAUAAUGUAUAAUAUUACUGCCUUCAAUAAAAUUUUGCUCCUGUAUCCAAUUUCAA